rnacentral:rRNA from 1 species
CCUACGGGGGGCAGCAGUGAGGAAUAUUGGUCAAUGGGCGAGAGCCUGAACCAGCCAAGUCGCGUGAGGGACGACGGCCCUACGGGUUGUAAACCUCUUUUGCCGGGGGACAAACGGCGGCACGCGUGCCGUCCUGAGGGUACCCGGAGAAAAAGCAUCGGCUAACUCCGUGCCAGCAGCCGCGGUAAUACGGAGGAUGCGAGCGUUAUCCGGAUUUAUUGGGUUUAAAGGGUGCGUAGGCGGGAUGCCAAGUCAGCGGUCAAAUACGGGGGCUCAACCUGCGUCCGCCGUUGAAACUGGCGUUCUUGAGUGGGCGAGAAGUACGCGGAAUGCGUGGUGUAGCGGUGAAAUGCAUAGAUAUCACGCAGAACCCCGAUUGCGAAGGCAGCGUACCGGCGCCCGACUGACGCUGAAGCACGAAAGCGUGGGUAU